ACAGGAGGAGGCCCAGCUGGGGAGAAGGUGGCGCCCAUGUGUGGGAGGGAGGGAAGGAGCCCGCUAUGAUUCAUGGGGUGCUGACCUGGGCGAGGACUGGCAGGGGGAGGACAGGGCAGGUUGAGCUCGCAGGAAAAGGAACCCUGUGGGUGGGUGGGGAUUGUGACAAUCCCUUUGGGCUCUCGGUGGAGAACUGCCAGUAUGUGUAUCUCUAGGCCUGGGUUGGGGGACUGUGGGAGGCACAGUUCACAGAUGGACAGCGUCACCAGACUGUCACUAAGAGACUGCAGAGAGCAAGCAAAGGCCAUGUCUGCCAGCUUCUAUCCAUACAAAGCCCUGUGCCUGCUGAUCCUGUCCUAGGUUCCAGAGCUUGCUCCUGUGUAACAACUCCACAAUUCCAGAUGAUUCAACAGGAAGCUGGUCUCUAGAGUGCAUGACAGGCAUGUACCCCGAUGACCAAUGUGUGAGCUGCUAGUUGUGGAACCCUGGGCUUGUUCGUGCUAGCCCAGCGUGACCGCAAGCCUGCAGUGCAUUUGCUGUUCUGACACACCCAGCC
rnacentral:lncRNA from 1 species